rnacentral:rRNA from 1 species
AUUGAACGCUGGCGGCAGGCCUAACACAUGCAAGUCGAGCGGAGCGGCGGACGGGUGAGUAAUGCCUAGGAAUCUGCCUGGUAGUGGGGGAUAACGUCCGGAAACGGGCGCUAAUACCGCAUCCUAUCAGAUGAGCCUAGGUCGGCUUAGCUAGUUGGUGGGGUAAAGGCUCACCAAGGCGACGAUCCGUAGCUGGUCUGAGAGGAUGAUCAGUCACACUGGAACUGAGACACGGGCCAGACUCCUACGGGAGGCAGCAGGAGGGAAUGUUGGACAAUGGGCGAAAGCCUGAUCCAGCAAUGCCGCGUGUGUGAAGAAGGGCUUCGGAUCGUAAAGCACUUUAAGUUGGGAAGCGUUACCAAAAGAAUAAGCAACGGCUAACUACGUGCCAGCAGCCGCGGUAAUAC